GGGGCCUACGGGGGGCAGCAGUGAGGAAUAUUGGUCAAUGGCCGGAAGGCUGAACCAGCCAAGCCGGGUGAAGGACGAAGGUGCCAAGCAUUGUAAAUUUCUUUUGUAAAGGGACAAAAUCAGGCUCGAGGGCCUGACCGAGGGUACUUGAAGAAAAAGCAUAGGCUAACUCCGUGCCAGCAGCCGCGGUAAUACGGAGGAUGCGAGCGUUAUCCGGAUUUAUUGGGUUUAAAGGGUGCGUAGGCGGGCUGUUAAGUCAGCGGUAAAAUCCCGGGGCUCAACCCCGGCG
rnacentral:rRNA from 1 species